UUAGAUGUUUUACAUUUUGUAAAGAACAUACAAAAGUAACAUUCCCAUAAUGUUUGCAAAAUGAUUAAGUUUGGCGGUUAGUGCGUCAACCGAAAAACUAACAUAACGUAAGUUAAGACAUAUUAUCGCUAACCCUGUGGGCUCAGAGUACAUUAUACUUUACUUAACUAUUUAUCAAAUAAACAGAGCAGUGAAAGACAACAUAUCUGCUCCGUUAGGACAGUGUGAGGUCUGCGUUACAUGGCGCUCGCCGCUAGAUGGCAGUAAAUGAUUGUUAAACCGGUUUUCGCUCCUUCAGGUGAGAUCUUCAGGUCAGUUUUUAGCAAUAAAAAACACAAUCUGUCUAAUCACUUGGAUUACCUUGUGGGUUGUCUUCCGAAUGUGCUGUUCUACUUCUAAAAGAGGACGCUGGGUAAUCGCCGUCGCUGUCUGUCUGACAUGGCCGGGGGUGGAGGGACGCGGAGCAGGAGGACAUUGUUAGAAGUUGAAGCGUUGGUAUUAGACGCCAGCAGGCCAGACCAUCAGCUAGACCCAAAUACUCCUUUUGUCUGAGCAAAACCACCUUCUUCCUCUAGAAGUUCACUCAUGAGAACAGUCC